AAGGAUUUAAGUUAAGAAAACUUUUAACCUUCAAAGUUGACAAUGGAGUAGAUCUAAGCCUUA
rnacentral:tRNA from 1 species